AUUGAACGCUGGCGGCAGGCCUAACACAUGCAAGUCGAGCGGUAGAGAGAAGCUUGCUUCUCUUGAGAGCGGCGGACGGGUGAGUAAUGCCUAGGAAUCUGCCUGGUAGUGGGGGAUAACGUUCGGAAACGGACGCUAAUACCGCAUACGUCCUACGGGAGAAAGCAGGGGACCUUCGGGCCUUGCGCUAUCAGAUGAGCCUAGGUCGGAUUAGCUAGUUGGUGAGGUAAUGGCUCACCAAGGCGACGAUCCGUAACUGGUCUGAGAGGAUGAUCAGUCACACUGGAACUGAGACACGGUCCAGACUCCUACGGGAGACAGCAGUGGGGAAUAUUGGACAAAGGGCGAAAGCCUGAUCCAGCCAUGCCGCGUGUGUGAAGAAGGUCUUCGGAUUGUAAAGCACUUUAAGUUGGGAGGAAGGGUUGUAGAUUAAUACGCUGCAAUUUUGACGUUACCGACAGAAUAAGCACCGGCUAACUCUGUG
rnacentral:rRNA from 1 species